GAAAUUGACCUGAACAGGUUUUUCACAGACAUGGAAACAAAUACAUGCUUGAAAAGUUGCUCAACCCCAUUAGCAAUCAUGGACACGAAGAUUAGAAUCACAGUGAACUCCAUUUCACACCUACUAGGUUAGAAGUCCAGAUUGCGUUUAGUGUUUGUGAGGAUGACUCCAAAAUUCUAAAGAAGCCCUCUCGGAUUGUCUUCCAGGAGUUUAAAGUUUUGCUUUUUAAAUUAAAGUCUUUAAUCUGGGGAAGGAGGGAGUCAUUAAAUUCCAUAUUUUUCUCUAUGAUAAUCAAUUGUACUAGCACCUUUUGCCAAAUUGUCCCUUCUUUCCCCAAUGAUCAGAAAUGUCACCUUGCUAGUGUGAUUCCGUCCUGUGCGGCUGUUCUUUUGAGCAGUGGUCAUUUAUCUCUGCCCGCCUUCUCUCCCAUCUAAGUGCGUGCUGCCACCGGAUGGAACAUUCAAUGGACUCAAAACCAUCAUCAACACCAAGAUCAAAAGGGCAAGAAUCCUUCAAAAAACAGGAAAAAACUCCUAAAACACCAAAAGGACCUAGUUCUGUAGAAGAUAUUAAAGCAAAAAUGCAAGCCAGUAUAGAAAAAGGUGGUUCUCUUCCCAAAGUGGAAGCCAAGUUCAUCAAUUAUGUGAAGAAUUUCUUCCGGAUCACUGACUAGGAGGCUGUUCAAGAUCUCUGGCAGUGGAGGAAGUCUUUUUAAGAAAAUAGUUUAAACAAUUUGUUGAGGUUUCCAAGAUGCUGCCCAAAGGAAAAAGUGGUUCUGGAAAAGCAGGGAAAGGGGGAGCAGCCUCUGGGAGUGACAGUGCUGACAAGAAGGCUCAAGGUCCCAAAGGUGGUGGCAAUGCAGUAAAGGUCAGACACAUUCUAUGUGAAAAACAUGGCAAAAUCAUGGAAGCUAUGGAAAAGUUAAAGUCUGGGAUGAGAUUCAAUGAAGUGGCUGCACAAUAUAGUGAAGAUAAAGCCAGGCAAGGGGGCGACUUGGGUUGGAUGACCAGAGGGUCCAUGGUAGGACCAUUUCAAGAAGCAGCAUUUGCCUUGCCUGUAAGUGGGAUGGAUAAGCCUGUGUUUACAGACCCACCAGUUAAGACAAAAAUUGGAUAUCAUAUUAUUAUGGUUGAAGGAAGAAAAUAAAAUCAUAUGAAAGACUGAAAAAAAAAACAAUUUGUUAAAAAUUUUCUGUCUUAUUUCAUUUCUGUAAGUUGAUAUCUGGCUGUCCUUUUUACAAUGCGGAGUGAGAAUUUUCCCUACCGUGUUUGAUAAAUGUUGUCCAGGUUCCAUUGCCAAGAAUGUGUUGUCCAAAAUGCCUGUAGUUUUUAAAGAUGGAACUCCACCCUUUGCUUGGUUUUAGGUGUGUGUGGAAUGUUAUGAUGGGACAUAGUAGUGGUGGUGGUCAGACAUGGAAAUGGUGGGGAGACA